rnacentral:rRNA from 1 species
AUUGAACGCUGGCGGCAGGCUUAACACAUGCAAGUCGAGCGAGCGGCGGCCGGGUGAGUAAUGUAUGGGAAACUGCCUGAUGGAGGGGGAUAACUACUGGAAACGGUAGCUAAUACCUCAUACCAUCAGAUGUGCCCCUAUGGGAUUAGCUAGUGGGUGGGGUAAGGGCUCACCUAGGCGACGAUCCCUAUCUGGUCUGAGAGGAUGACCAGCCACACUGGAACUUAGCCACGGGCCAGACUCCUACGGGAGGCAGCAGUGGGGAAUAUUGCACAAUGGGCGCAAGCCUGAUGCAGCCAUGCCGCGUGUGUGAAGAAGGCCUUCGGGUUGUAAAGCACUUUCAGCGAGGAGGCGUUACUCGCAGAAGAAGCACCGGCUAACUCCGUGCCAGCAGCCGCGGUAAUAC